rnacentral:rRNA from 1 species
UACGGGGGGGCAAGCGUUGUUCGGAAUUACUGGGCGUAAAGGGCUCGUAGGCGGCCAACUAAGUCAGACGUGAAAUCCCUCGGCUUAACCGGGGAACUGCGUCUGAUACUGGAUGGCUUGAGUUUGGGAGAGGGAUGCGGAAUUCCAGGUGUAGCGGUGAAAUGCGUAGAUAUCUGGAGGAACACCGGUGGCGAAGGCGGCAUCCUGGACCAAUACUGACGCUGAGGAGCGAAAGCGUGGGGAGCAAACAGG